CUGGGCGUAAAGCGAGCGCAGACGGUUACUUAAGCAGGAUGUGAAAUCCCCGGGCUCAACCUGGGAACUGCGUUCUGAACUGGGUGACUAGAGUGUGUCAGAGGGAGGUAGAAUUCCACGUGUAGCAGUGAAAUGCGUAGAGAUGUGGAGGAAUACCGAUGGCGAAGGCAGCCUCCUGGGAUAACACUGACGUUCAUGCUCGAAAGCGUGGGUAGCAAACAGGAUUAGAUACCCUGGUAGUCCACGCCCUAAACGAUGUCAAUUAGCUGUUGGGCAACUUGAUUGCUUAGUAGCGUAGCUAACGCGUGAAAUUGACCGCCUGGGGAGUACGGUCGCAAGAUUAAAACUCAAAGGAAUUGACGGGGACCCGCACAAGCGGUGGAUGAUGUGGAUUAAUUCGAUGCAACGCGAAGAACCUUACCUGGUCUUGACAUGUACGGAAUCCUCCAGAGACGGAGGAGUGCCUUCGGGGGCCGUAACACAGGUGCUGCAUGGCUGUCGUCAGCUCGUGUCGUGAG
rnacentral:rRNA from 1 species